rnacentral:rRNA from 1 species
CCUACGGGCGGCAGCAGUGAGGAAUAUUGGUCAAUGGGCGAGAGCCUGAACCAGCCAAGUCGCGUGAAGGAUGACGGCCCUACGGGUUGUAAACUUCUUUUGUCAGGGAGCAAUUGGGUCCACGCGUGGGCUUAGCGAGAGUACCUGAAGAAAAAGCAUCGGCUAACUCCGUGCCAGCAGCCGCGGUAAUACGGAGGAUGCGAGCGUUAUCCGGAUUUACUGGGUGUAAAGGGGGCGUAGACGGCUGGUCAAGUCUGAAGUGAAAGCCCGGGGCUUAACCCCGGAACGGCUUUGGAAACUGAGCAGCUAGAGUGCUGGAGAGGUAAGCGGAAUUCCUAGUGUAGCGGUGAAAUGCGUAGAUAUUAGGAGGAACACCAGUGGCGAAGGCGGCUUACUGGACAGUAACUGACGUUGAGGCUCGAAAGCGUGGGGAGCAAACAGGAUUAGAUACCCGUGUAGUC